GAAAUGCGAUAAGUAAUGUGAAUUGCAGAAUUCAGUGAAUCAUCGAAUCUUUGAACGCACAUUGCGCCCGGCAGCAAUCUGCCGGGCAUGCCUGUCCGAGCGUCAUUUCUGCCCCCGAGCGCGGUUCGGCCCCUAGCGGGCCGGCCGCCGCCCGGUGUUGGGGCGCUGCGGGCCCUCGUGCCCGCAGGCCCUGAAAUGAAGUGGCGGUCCCGCCGCGGCGCCCCCUGCGUAGUAGUAAAGCACCUCGCAUCGGGUCCCGGCGGAGGCCAGCCGUCGAACCUCUCUUUUGAUGGUUUGACCUCGGAUCAGGUAGGGUUACCCGCUGAACUUAAGC
rnacentral:misc_RNA from 1 species